ACAGCAGCAGCCGCGGUAAUACGUAGGUGGCAAGCGUUGUCCGGAAUUAUUGGGCGUAAAGGGCUCACAGGCGGUUUCUUAAGUCUGAUGUGAAAGCCCCCGGCUCAACCGGGGAGGGUCAUUGGAAACUGGGAAACUUGAGUGCAGAAGAGGAGAGUGGAAUUCCACGUGUAGCGGUGAAAUGCGUAGAGAUGUGGAGGAACACCAGUGGCGAAGGCGACUCUCUGGUCUGUAACUGACGCUGAGGAGCGAAAGCGUGGGGAGCGAACAGGAUUAGAUACCCCUGUAGUCCCUGUCUCUUAUAA
rnacentral:rRNA from 1 species